AGUUUGAUCCUGGCUCAGAUUGAACGCUGGCGGCAGGCCUAACACAUGCAAGUCGAGCGGUAGAGAGAAGCUUGCUUCUCUUGAGAGCGGCGGACGGGUGAGUAAUGCCUAGGAAUCUGCCUGGUAGUGGGGGAUAACGUUCGGAAACGGACGCUAAUACCGCAUACGUCCUACGGGAGAAAGCAGGGGACCUUCGGGCCUUGCGCUAUCAGAUGAGCCUAGGUCGGAUUAGCUAGUUGGUGAGGUAAUGGCUCACCAAGGCGACGAUCCGUAACUGGUCUGAGAGGAUGAUCAGUCACACUGGAACUGAGACACGGUCCAGACUCCUACGGGAGGCAGCAGUGGGGAAUAUUGGACAAUGGGCGAAAGCCUGAUCCAGCCAUGCCGCGUGUGUGAAGAAGGUCUUCGGAUUGUAAAGCACUUUAAGUUGGGAGGAAGGGUUGUAGAUUAAUACUCUGCAAUUUUGACGUUACCGACAGAAUAAGCACCGGCUAACUCUGUGCCAGCAGCCGCGGUAAU
rnacentral:rRNA from 1 species